UACGAAGGGGGCUAGCGUUGCUCGGAAUCACUGGGCGUAAAGCGCACGUAGGCGGAUCGUUAAGUCAGGGGUGAAAUCCUGGAGCUCAACUCCAGAACUGCCUUUGAUACUGGCGACCUUGAGUUCGGGAGAGGUGAGUGGAACUGCGAGUGUAGAGGUGAAAUUCGUAGAUAUUCGCAAGAACACCAGUGGCGAAGGCGGCUCACUGGCCCAUAACUGACGCUGGGGCACGAAAGCGUGGGGAGCAAACAGG
rnacentral:rRNA from 1 species